rnacentral:rRNA from 1 species
AACGAACGCUGGCGGCAUGCCUAACACAUGCAAGUCGAACGAAGCCUUCGGGCUUAGUGGCGCACGGGUGCGUAACGCGUGGGAAUCUGCCCUUGGGUUCGGAAUAACAGUUAGAAAUGACUGCUAAUACCGAAUGAUGUCUUCGGACCAAAGAUUUAUCGCCCAAGGAUGAGCCCGCGUCGGAUUAGCUAGUUGGUGAGGUAAAGGCUCACCAAGGCGACGAUCCGUAGCUGGUCUGAGAGGAUGAUCAGCCACACUGGGACUGAGAUACGGCCCAGACUCCUACGGGAGGCAGCAGUGGGGAAUAUUGGACAAUGGGGGCGAACCCUGAUCCAGCAAUGCCGCGUGAGUGAUGAAGGCCUUAGGGUUGUAAAGCUCUUUUGCCAGGGAGAUGAUGACUGUACCUGGAGAAUAAGCCCCGGCUAACUUCGUGCCAGCAGCCGCGGUAAU